CCUACGGGCGGCAGCAGUGGGGAAUAUUGGACAAUGGGCGAAAGCCUGAUCCAGCCAUGCCGCGUGUGUGAAGAAGGCCUUCGGGUUGUAAAGCACUUUCAGUGGGGAAGAAAGCCUUGGGGCUAAUACCCUCGAGGAAGGACAUCACCCACAGAAGAAGCACCGGCUAACUCCGUGCCAGCAGCCGCGGUAAUACGGAGGGUGCGAGCGUUAAUCGGAAUUACUGGGCGUAAAGCGCGCGUAGGCGGUCUGAUAAGCCGGUUGUGAAAGCCCCGGGCUCAACCUGGGAACGGCAUCCGGAACUGUCAGGCUAGAGUGCAGGAGAGGAAGGUAGAAUUCCCGGGGUAGCGGUGAAAUGCGUAGAGAUCGGGAGGAAUACCAGUGGCGAAGGCGGUCUUCUGGACUGACACUGACGCUGAGGUGCGAAAGCGUGGGUAGCAAACAGGAUUAGAUACCCGGGUAGUC
rnacentral:rRNA from 1 species